GCGGGAGUGGCGGAACCGGUAGACGCACUGGACUUAGGAUCCAGUGGGCGUAAGCCCGUGGAGGUUCGAGUCCUCUCUCCCGCACCA
rnacentral:tRNA from 1 species